rnacentral:rRNA from 1 species
CGUGUAGGCGGAUCGUUAAGUCAUGCGUGAAAGCCCUCGGCUUAACCGAGGAAGGGCGUAUGAUACUGGCGAUCUAGAGUUCGGAAGGAGGGGGGUGGGAAUUCCAGGUGUAGCGGUGAAAUGCGUAGAUAUCUGGAGGAACACCGGUGGCGAAGGCGACCCCCUCGGUCCGACACUGACGCUGAGACGCGAAAGCGUGGGUAGCAAAACA